GUUUCCAAAAUUAUUGAAAAUCUACUACUACAUGGGAAACACAGGAGGUAACAUAGGGCUGAAAUUACAAUGUGUCUAGCAAUAACUUUGUAGGGGGGUCCCCCCCCCCCCCCCCCCCCCCCCCACUCUGGGCAGGUGGGACAGUACAUCUCCCGAGCAGAGGAGCUGAAGGUAUUGGUCACCUCCAGCAGCAAGAACCUCCUGCAACAAGGGAACCCAGCCAGAGAGCUUCUUAAAGGUAGUGUGUUUUGGGGACCACCCCCCCUCCCUGGGGUCAGAGCAGGAAGGGGGCACCUGGUGGGGUUUUGGGCUGAAGGGUACCCCACCUCCCCAUGGUGCUCUCUAUUGCAAUGUCCCCUUGCAGAGAUGGCCAAGGACAAGCCUCGGCUCUGCGCUGCGCUGGAAGUGGCUUCUGCUGCCAUCGCUAAGGUGAGCCGUGGAUUUGGGGGUUUCCUCUCCCCUCGAGUGGAAGGGGAAGGAGCAAACCCAGGUGGGGAGGGAGCUGGUGUAUAUCGCAGCUGCAGCCCGGUCUCUUGCAGGAGGAGGAAGGCAAAGAUGACAGUGACACCCUGGAGCUCUACCAGCAGAGCCUGGGGGAGCUGCUGCUCCUCCUGGCCGGUGAGUUGUGGCCGCGGUGGGUGCUGCGGGGCAGGGACAGAUCCUGCGCCCGUGGCUGACCUGAGGGCACAUCCCUCUUCCCUCUGCAGCGGAGCCUGCGGGGAGGCGACGGGAGCUGCUCCACGCGGAGAUCCAGACCCUGAUGGCCCGAGCUGA
rnacentral:lncRNA from 1 species